rnacentral:rRNA from 1 species
AACGAACGCUGGCGGCAUGCCUAACACAUGCAAGUCGAACGAGAACUUCGGGUCUAGUGGCGCACGGGUGCGUAACGCGUGGGAACCUGCCCUUAGGUUCCGAAUAACUCCCCGAAAGGGGUGCUAAUACAGGAUAAUGCCUUCGGGCCAAAGAUUUAUCGCUUUUGGAUGGGCGCGUGUUGGAUUCGCUGGUUGGUAGGGUAAAAGCCUACCAAGGCGACGAUCCAUAGCUGGUCUGAGAGGAUGAUCAUCCACGCUGGGCCUGAGACACGGCCCAGACUCCGACGGGAGGCAGCAGUGGGGAACAUUGGACAAUGGGCGAAAGCCUGAUCCAGCAAUGCCGCGUGAGUGAUGAAGGCCUUAGGGUUGUAAAGCUCUUUUACCCGGGAUGAUAAUGACAGUACCGGGAGAAUAAGCACCGGCUAACUCCGUG